rnacentral:tRNA from 2 species
GGGCGGCUGGCCUAAUGGUAAGGCGUCUGAUUUCGGCUCAGAAAAUUGCAGGUUCGAUCCCUGCGUCGCUCA